GACGAACCGUGCGAACGUUGUUCGGAAUCACUGGGCUUAAAGGGCGCGUAGGCGGGCCGCCAAGUCAGGGGUGAAAUCCUCCAGCUCAACUGGAGAACUGCUUUUGAUACUGGCGGUCUAGAGUGGGGUAGGGGCAUGCGGAACAAUGGGUGGAGCGGUGAAAUGCGUUGAUAUCCAUUGGAACUCCGGUGGCGAAAGCGGCGUGCUGGACCUCAACUGACGCUGAGGCGCGAAAGCUAGGGGAGCAAACGGG
rnacentral:rRNA from 1 species